rnacentral:misc_RNA from 1 species
CCCCAGCUUAGCACGAUAGUAAUGAUAAAGUGCAUCGUCACAGAAAGGGUUUCAUACAGCCCUGUCUGCGGGUAUCUGCGCCAGAAGAUAGCAAGCACAAUGCCCGGCAGUGCUGCCCAGCCGAAAAAGAGCAUCAGACUAAGCAUAAAAGCUAACGGCAGGUAAAAAAGAACCACAUUUCCAGUGCUGGUAAGCGCAUAAGUAUUUGCGCUACUUAAAACAGGUAGUAAAAUCGAAGGAAGGAUGAGCGGUAGUCCCCACCAUUUAUCUCUGAUAUUUAUAUAAGUUUUAUUCAGCUUCAUAGAUGCUCAGCAGAACCCCCCAAUCCCAAAGGGGCGUUAACAGAC